UGUUUCUUUUUUUCAGAAAUAGUGCAUUUUGACACCAGCUCUUCAUGUGAUAAUCACUUCCAGAAUUCCCCUUAUCAAAGACGCAGAAGGUAACAAGCCUUCCUCCAUGAGGCCUUCUUAGACUGUUCCAGACACUCCGACUUACCCAACUGAUGUCAUCCAUGAGUACAAAACACAUUUACCCACCAUCUGCCUUAACGAAAGGGGCAAAGGCUUUGACACAGUGUCUUCACUUGGGGAGACACCACAAUCCCCUGGUCAUCUUCUACAUUUCUGGCCACCCUUUCUCAGCCUCCUUGGCCAGUUCUUCCUAGAGGAAUGUCCCCACCUUCACAGUUAAGUACCAUCUCUGUGCCAAUGACGUACAAUUUUUUUCUGUUUACACCUUGGGUCUCUUUCCUGAAUUCCAAACCUGUACCUACCACUUACCUAAUUUUGAUGCUUCGUGAUCUGUCUCACUGCACUGAACUGGCUUCAUUACAAGAAGAAUGACUUUGGUUACUGCUCUAUUAUCAGGGCCUAAAAUAAUGUCCAGCACAUGAGAGGAACUUCCACAUCACUGGGGCGGAGGGGGGGCGGUGAAUGAAGAGUGAAAAGUCAUGACUGAUCGGUGUUCUCAUGGAGACUUCACUGUCUCAGCCCAUGAACCUCAAAUUCUCAGAUGACCCCAAAGAGCACAAAGGACAGGCAGCAAGUUGACCCCAAAAUGCUCAUAGUUCAACAGCUAAUAUAGUGAUAGAUGCAGCACACAGAAAGUGUCCUGGAGCAGAUGCCUGGAAUCUAAUGAUCAGAACUGAAUAAUGACUGGGUCACUCAGGAAGGAGGUUUGUCAGUCUGGCACACAGUGAACGAAGAGGAUCAGAGGGCGGCUCUGUCACUGCCCAACCAAGAACCGUCUGGGGCUCAGGUCUGGACACCUUCCCUGCAGUUUCUGACUUGGGAUAUGAGGGUGGCCUCAUUGAGCUGCGGUUCAUAAAGGGAUGCCCUGGAAACUACCAGAAGCAAUGAAGGCACUGGAAACUCAGAUGUUGCCGAGAAAACAGGGCAUGAGUGAAGAAAACCCAUCUCAAGCAAACAAUCCUCGACUUCACCCUGUGAAGACUAAUUGUUAGAGACGGAUGUAAACAAAAGAUUCUCUUUUGAGAGACACACGCAAGAUAUUAAGCGUGACCACUUCCUACGCCGUACUUCUGUCUUGCUAGCUGCUGGGUUUUGCUAAGCCUUGACUUUUAACGAGCACUACUACAAGUGAGCAGUUACAUUUUAAAUGUUGGCUUGUUCAAACCUUGCUGCACAAGUAUUAAUAAGAGGCAAAUUAAAAGGGGUUUUGAGACCAACUACUGUAAGGUAAAUCUAGGUGAUGUGGCCUCUGAUGUGAUCGUUUUUAAGAACAAUCAGCUGGAUACGAGCAUGUGCAAAGCUACACAGACUCCUGUGUGCCUGAUCCGCCUGGCAGCAGUAUGGGAGCUGAGAUGUUGUUUGUGGCUUGGAACUGAGUUUUCUCUUUUGCAAGAAGACACAUCUAAGGUACAUCCUCAUGAUGCCCCCAACCUCACCCCACCCAAAGGCAAGGUAUAAAGCUUACCGUUAUGUGUAGAGCUAGAAACACCCAGAACAGACCUGGUUGUAGGUAGUCUCACUGGUAGGGGCAGAAAUCCCUUAAACUGGACAAAAUCCAGGCUCUAGCUCAGUCCUGAGGCCACGGUUGAAACAUCAAGAAGCCUUAUUUCCUCACCCUAAAGUGAGACAAACUUCUCUACCUCUUCCCUACACAUCCCAUGCAACUAGGUCAUGCCAACCAGGUAAAGGCAGUUCGUUGUCUUCCUAACUCACUUGUUGUUCAAACCAUGCCUGGAUUCCUCUCAUAAUUUCAUUGGUAAAAUUUACAAAAGCAAUGGAAACUCAUACCAAGAGUGAUGUUCGAAAUGUAGUCAUCCAAGGAUACUAUCAGGAUAAUUGAAUAGGGUCAAACAUGACUCAUGACAUUAGAAGGAGACACCUGGAUGUUUCAGGGGUCUUAUUGUGGUAGGAGGGGGGCAAGUGAGGCCCCGCCAUUCCCAAUGCCAACUCAAAAGUACUACCUGAAGUCAUCCUGACUUUCCAGCAAUCUUCAGCGAUUCAGCGGGCACCACACCCUCUGGCAGUGAAUCACCUCGCUAAACUUUCUGACUCAACCAAGGUGGACUUUGAGAUUUAGAACCAUGGGGGAGGGGGUACUUCUGGAAGAGAAAUGAAUCUCCCUGGAGUCACAACUGUCUGGUGUUAGUAAUGACUGACUCCCUUUUGUGCCUUGUUGACUCCUCCAGCUGUCUGCUCCCCUCCCUGCCUCUAGCCAGCUGCUACCCCAAGUCUUGAUGUCACCGGGUAGAGAGGCAAGGUGGGUAUUAAAGGCACCUCUCACAAGAGAUGAAGGAUCCUUACUGGCGGUAAAGUGUCACAUGUUUAGUGACUCUGGGGGACGUCACUACCAGUGACGAAUCCCUUACCGUGUAAGUUUCUUCUCUCCCUAACCUGUAGUCCUACUCCCUGUAGGAACCCUUGUUAACAAUGUCCCAUGUAUUCUUCCAGAAACACCGUGUACAUAUUCUAGUGUAUCUAAUAUGUACAUUCUAGCAUGUGUAUGUGUGCACACAAUCAGGAUCUUAUAAUACUGUUCAAGAUCUUGCCCCCCCCCUUCCCCACUGAAAUGCAAUCUGUAUGUCUUUCUAUAUCAGCAUGUGCAGAUCUGUCUCAUUUUUAAACAACUACCUACUUUUCCAUGAUAGGGAUUUGCCAUAGUUGGUUUAAUCGGGACUCUAUUGAUAUAAUUUAGAUUAUUUCUAAUUUGUGAUAGUAGCAAGUAUCCUUAAACCCACAGGAGCAUAUUUGUAAACAAACAUUUAAAUCAAUACAAUCAGUGGAACUGACAAGUCAGAGGGUAAGUACAAUGAAAAAUGUGAUGGAUAUUGCAAACUUUCUGUAAAAUCAUUGUCUUAAUUUGAAUUCCCUACAAGUGUUCAUGAAAGUGCCAGCUUUUCCAUCGAUUCAACAACUGUGGGUAUUAACAAACUUGAAUAUUCUGCAAACCUGAUAGAUAUGAAAUGGCAGUUGAUUGAUUUGCAUUUCUUUAAUCUUUGUCAAUUUGUAAGCUGGCUGAAUUUUACCACGAGCUGAUUGUUCCUUUUCCUAUUGGUUUACUUCCUAGUGAUGUGAUUAGUACUUAGUAAGUUAAGGACACUGGCCCUAUGUUAAUAUUUUUCCUAGUUUUUCAUUUGUCUUUAAGACAACCCUUAGUGUUGUUCCUUUUUAAAGUAAUUGUUUAGGACCCCAUGCAUCUUAGGUUUUAUGACACACUUAGAAAGACCUUUCCCCAUUUAAAAAUUAUUAUUAUUUCAAGGACGCCUGGGUGGCUCAGUCAGUUAAGCGUCCGACUUUGGCUCAGGUCAUGAUCUCCCAUGAUUCAUCUCGCAUCAGGAUCUGUGCUGACACCUCAGAGCCUGGAGCUUGCUUUGGAUUCUGUGUCUCCCUCUCUCUCUGCCCCUCCCCUGCUUGUGCUCUGUCUCUGUCUCAAAAACAAAUAAGCAUUAAAAAUUUUCUUUAAAGAAAAUGAGUAAAAUUUUAAAAAUUGUUUAUUAUUUCAAAAGUCAAAUUGUUAUAAUUUUUAUUCUUUUCUUUUUGCAUUAAAAUAUGUGUCCCAUUCAGAAUUUAUUUUGAUUUAAAGAACUAGGUUGGUAUCAAUUUUUAUCAAAAUUUCCCCAAAAGCAUAUCCAUGAUACCAAUACCAUUUACUGAAUUCUUUUUCAUUUCAUGAUUUCAAAAGCCACGUUUUAUCAUACUUUUAAUUUCCCAGUGUAUCUGCAUGUAUUUCUAGACUCUCUAUUCUGUCCCACACAUGUAUCAUUCUCUAGUACAAAACCUGCCUUAAGGAUUAGUUUUUAUAACAUUAGUAGUUCCCUCUCAUUACUCUUUUGGGAUGUUUAUUUUUUCCAGAGUAAUUUUACUGUCACUUUGUUGGUCUCUUACACCACUAACCCCAGCUACGUAGGUAUUUUGAUUGGGUGCUCAAUGAAGAAUUCAUCUCCUUUCAGCCAGAGGUGCAUAUUUCCAAUCUAAGAUCUCACCUGUAAUAACUUCUGAUUCGCCAAUAUUAGACGGGCAGGUUAAGGAACAGGGGUAGAGCAAUAUGAAAGCUUGAACAUCCACUGAUUUUAAAACCAAGACCAAAAAGGUAAUUUAAGCUAAAGUACUGAAUAUUUAAGCAAAACCUAAGAGUUCUAGUAAAAGAUCUAAUUUUGGACUUCGGUGAUGUCAGUUAAUAUCAUGAAAGUACACAGAUAACUAAGGGUUCAAAAUACUCUCCAAGGAAAUAAUUUUAACCGCUGUCCUGGAAUCUAUGAACCAAUUCAGCUAAAGCGUUUAUAUUAAUCCUUCCAGCUCUAGGUCCUUUAUGCAAAAAAUCUGAUUAUCAGGCUGGUACAGCAGAUGUAAAAAAAAUGGCAGAAACGGUCCUUUACGUUCUGCAAAAGAAUGAAAACUGUUGAUUCUUUAAAGAGCCACACAAUUUUUUACUGGGUACACUAUUUUCUAUUCUGCAAGGUUAAAGGGUAACUACACAACCACUCACACUGAAGAAGCAGGAGAAUUUUUCACUCAUAUGAGAUCAAAGUGUAUGAACUUACCGUUAGCAUAUCAUCACAUUUCAUAUCCGGUGUGUCACCAUCUUCACUUUUAUUGUAGAAUUUUCGGAAAAAGUUGAAUGCCACAACAGUAUAUAAGUAUACAACAACAGCUAACAAGCCAACAGUUAAUACAAGCUGGAAAGCAAUGUGACACAGAACGCGCAUUAGAAAUGCAAGGCGUAUAUGACUGGCAUGUUCAACAUCAGUGUGGGAGGAGAGAAUUCUAUGAGCACAUACCUGGAUUUAUUGACGAGAAAGUAAUGGGAUCCAUACCUCACACCGUACCUUUCUUACCCCCCUCUGUGGGGAAAUUUAUUUCCAUAUGCUCUUUAUUUUAUCAAGUGGUCAGACUGUUUUAUGCAAAAGUUGGCUACUUAAUUGGUUAAUGAAUGCAUACUACAGCUGGAAGAUGAAUAAACUCUGAUUGACUUUCACAUCCAAAUUGAUCAUAAUAUGUAUGUGCUGAAAAUAAGAAUUUCACCAAGUCGGUGAAAAUAUAUUUCUGGUUAUAUCACAGAAAAUCUAAACACACUAAAAUGCAUUAUUUUUUGUGUCUACUUCUCUAAUUACAAUGAAUCCCUGUGUUCUUGACCGUGGCAGCAUAUAUUAAGUCCUUCAAAAAUAAUUUUACAAUUAUCUGGAGAAAAUAUGUUAUCUGAAUAGAGGGCUUAAUUCACUUCUGUAAACGAAGUACAAUGCCACUAUAAAUUUCUGCACAUCUUAUUAUGAGGACUAUUAAGCUCUCUAUAUUUCUGUAAGUCAAAAAUUGAUAUCUCAAAAAGAAGGAAUAAUCCUCCCAAAAUUUUAGAAGUGAAUUGAAAGCAAGCCAAACCUUUUGUGUGAAAAUACACAAGAGAUUCAGAAUCUCCAGUUCUUUAAAUGUCAGGGGCUCAAUACUAUGAAUGAAUAAACACUUUUUGCUGAUGUCAUAGUCACAUUCAAAAAUUAGAGUGACAUAUAGAACAACAAUGUGUUGAAAUUUAGGAAACUAAAAAUCAUGGUAACUGUUCAUAUGAACUUAACUAUGGACAUAGUUCACGUGUUUGGGGGGACAUGGAUUUAAAAAUAUGCUGAAUUAUAAAAUUCUGGAAAAGAAGGACUCUGUUAAACCAAAUAACGAAUAUAGAAUGUGUUACUCCCAGUAGACAGGUGAUAGAGAAUGAAUCAAUAAAUAUAUGCUUCUAUAAUGAGUUUAUGAAUAAUUAAAGUUUUCACAUUACAACUGGGCUCCAUUAAAACAUAAAUUGAUCAUCUGGAACUAGGCCAGUAUGUAAGUCCUUGGAGUAUGACCUUGUCAAGUAUGAAACAU